CUACAAGUAGUCGGAGUCCUAUGAUUUUUCUUCGGAAAAAUAACGGAUGACGGCGUACCUUUUGUAGAAUGGACCGGCGAGUUACGAUCUCCUGCAAGGUUAAGCAGCAUAUGCGGAGCCGCAGCGAAAGCGAGUCUGAAUAGGGCGAAUAUAGUAGGGGGUCGUAGACCCGAAACCGUGUGAUCUACCCAUGUCCAGGGUGAAGGUCAGGUAACACUGACUGGAGGCCCGAACCCACGCACGUUGAAAAGUGCGGGGAUGAGGUGUGGGUAGGGGUGAAAUGCCAAUCGAACACGGAGAUAGCUGGUUCUCUCCGAAAUAGCUUUAGGGCUAG
rnacentral:rRNA from 1 species